UACGUAGGGUGCGAGCGUUAAUCGGAAUUACUGGGCGUAAAGGCGUGACGCAGGCGGUGGAGUGUAAGACAGAAUGUGAAAAUCCCCGGGCUUAACCUGGGAACUGCAUUUGUGACUGGCAAGCUAGAGUAUGGCAGAGGGGGGUAGAAUUCCACGUGAUAGCAGUGAAAUGCGUAGAGAUGUGGAGGAAUACCGAUGGCGAAGGCAGCCCCCUGGGCCAAUACUGACGCUCAUGACACGAA
rnacentral:rRNA from 1 species